rnacentral:snoRNA from 1 species
UUCCAAAGUGUUGAGUUCAGUCCAGGGCAUCUUCCCUGUUCUGUUAAUUAAACUUUGGGACAUUGAAAUGGGCCAAGGGAAAUGAUUAGCUAGAAAGCAUGAUUCUAUUCAUUUGCCUCCUAGCCUACAAAA